UAGCUAGUUGGUGAGGUAAAGGCUUACCAAGGCGACGAUCUGUAGCGGGUCUGAGAGGAUGAUCCGCCACACUGGAACUGAGACACGGUCCAGACUCCUACGGGAGGCAGCAGUGGGGAAUUUUGGACAAUGGGGGCAACCCUGAUCCAGCCAUGCCGCGUGAGUGAAGAAGGCCUUCGGGUUGUAAAGCUCUUUCGGCCGGGAAGAAAUCGCAUGGGCCAAUACCCUGUGUGGAUGACGGUACCGGAAUAAGAAGCACCGGCUAACUACGUGCCAGCAGCCGCGGUAAUACGUAGGGUGCGAGCGUUAAUCGGAAUUACUGGGCGUAAAGCGUGCGCAGGCGGUUUUGUAAGACAGGCGUGAAAUCCCCGGGCUUAACCUGGGAACUGCGUUUGUGACUGCAAGGCUAGAGUACGGCAGAGGGGGGUGGAAUUCCACGUGUAGCAGUGAAAUGCGUAGAGAUGUGGAGGAACACCAAUGGCGAAGGCAGCCCCCUGGGUCGAUACUGACGCUCAUGCACGAAAGCGUGGGUAGCAAACAGGAUUAGAUACCCUGGUAGUCCACGCCCUAAACUAUGUCAACUAGGUGUUGGGUGGGUAAAACCAUUUAGUACCGUAGCUAACGCGUGAAGUUGACCGCCUGGGGAGUACGGCCGCAAGGUUAAAACUCAAAGGAAUUGACGGGGACCCGCACAAGCGGUGGAUGAUGUGGGUUAAUUCGAUGCAACGCGAAAAACCUUACCUACCCUUGACAUGCCAGGAACUUGCCAGAGAUGGCUUGGUGCCCGAAAGGGAGCCUGGACACAGGUGCUGCAUGGCUGUCGUCAGCUCGUGUCGUGAGAUGUUGGGUUAAGUCCCGCAACGAGCGCAACCCUUGUCGUUAAUUGCCAUCAUUUAGUUGGGCACUUUAACGAGACUGCCGGUGACAAACCGGAGGAUGGUGGGGAUGACGUCAAGUCCUCAUGGCCCUUAUGGGUAGGGCUUCACACGUCAUACAAUGGUCGGUACAAAGGGUUGCCAAGCCGCGAGGCGGAGCCAAUCCCAGAAAGCCGAUCGUAGUCCGGAUUGCAGGCUGCAACUCGCCUGCAUGAAGUCGGAAUCGCUAGUAAUCGUGGAUCAGCAUGUCACGGUGAAUACGUUCCCGGGUCUUGUACACACCGCCCGUCACACCAUGGGAGCGGGUUCCGCCAGAAGUAGGUAGCCUAACCGCAAGGGGGGCGCUUACCACGGCGGGGUUCGUGACUGGGGUGAAGUCGGAACAAGGUAGCCGUAGGGGAACCUGCGGCUG
rnacentral:rRNA from 1 species